rnacentral:lncRNA from 1 species
CCACACUAAAACAGGAAUACCCAAAAGGAACUGCAGCUUGUGGAGGACCUGGGUAGGAGACAAGCAGAAAGGAAGGGAGAAAGAAACCAGCAAGAAAUAAGAAGCUGAAGCAAGAAAACAUCAUCUACCAACCCAGUCUCCUGAGCUGUCCAUCACCUCAUGCAAGGGUCUUGCUGUAAGUCUUUGGGCUUUCUAAUCCUCCCCUGAUUGUCUUUAAAGUAAUGCUUGCAUCAGCAGUGAACCACGGCGAGCAAAACCCUCAGGGGAGAAGAUAAGUUGCUGAAUAUUCAGUGUAGCUGCCUUGUGCAGAGCCCAGAAGGGAUGGCCCUG